rnacentral:rRNA from 1 species
UACGUAGGGAGCGAGCGUUGUCCGGAUUCAUUGGGCGUAAAGAGCUCGUAGGCGGCUUGAUAAGUCGGGAUGUGAAACCUCCAGGCUCAACCUGGAGUCGCCAUCCGAUACUGUCAUGGCUAGAGUCCGGUAGGGGCCCAGCGGAAAUUCCUGGUGUAGCGGUGAAAUGCGCAGAUAUCAGGAGGAACACCGGUGGCGAAGGCGGUGGGCUGGGCCGGCACUGACGCUGGAGGAG